rnacentral:rRNA from 1 species
UUCCUACGGGGCGCAGCAGUGGGGAAUAUUGCACAAUGGGGGAAACCCUGAUGCAGCGACGCCGCGUGAGUGAAGAAGUAUCUCGGUACGUAAAGCUCUAUCAGCAGGGAAGAAAAAAAGUCUUUGGCUUUGGACGGUACCUGACUAAGAAGCCCCGGCUAACUACGUGCCAGCAGCCGCGGUAAUACGUAGGGGGCAAGCGUUAUCCGGAUUUACUGGGUGUAAAGGGAGCGUAGACGGCAGCGCAAGUCUGGAGUGAAAUGCCGGGGCCCAACCCCGGGACUGCUCUUGGAACUGCAUGGCUG